AACGAACGCUGGCGGCAUGCCUAACACAUGCAAGUCGAACGAGACCUUCGGGUCUAGUGGCGCACGGGUGCGUAACGCGUGGGAACCUGCCCUUAGGUUCGGAAUAACUCCCCGAAAGGGGUGCUAAUACCGGAUAAUGUCUUCGGACCAAAGAUUUAUCGCCUUUGGAUGGGCCCGCGUUGGAUUAGCUAGUUGGUAGGGUAAAAGCCUACCAAGGCGACGAUCCAUAGCUGGUCUGAGAGGAUGAUCAGCCACACUGGGACUGAGACACGGCCCAGACUCCUACGGGAGGCAGCAGUGGGGAAUAUUGGACGAUGGGCGAAAGCCUGAUCCAGCUAUGCCGCGUGAGUGAUGAAGGCCUUAGGGUUGUAAAGCUCUGUUACCCGGGAUGAUAAUGACAGUACCGGGUGAAUAAGCACCGGCUAACUCCGUG
rnacentral:rRNA from 1 species